rnacentral:rRNA from 1 species
GACGAACGCUGGCGGCGUGCUUAACACAUGCAAGUCGAACGGAAAGGCCCUGCUUUUGUGGGGUGCUCGAGUGGCGAACGGGUGAGUAACACGUGAGUAACCUGCCCUUGACUUUGGGAUAACUUCAGGAAACUGGGGCUAAUACCGGAUAGGAGCUCCUGCUGCAUGGUGGGGGUUGGAAAGUUUCGGCGGUUGGGGAUGGACUCGCGGCUUAUCAGCUUGUUGGUGGGGUAGUGGCUUACCAAGGCUUUGACGGGUAGCCGGCCUGAGAGGGUGACCGGCGGCAAGGGGCAUGAGGGAGGACGGAGAGUGCAACGGGGGAAAGCAGGCGGGAUUCGUGCACACCGGGAGCGAGCGGGAGACAGAGGCGGCCGGUGCGGGAGGACGGGUUGCGGGGAGGAAAAAGCAUCCGCCUGAUACCAAGCGGGUGUGACGGUAAUGAAUAAAGAAACACCGGCUAACUUCGUG